GCGUUGAAACACCGGUCCCCGUACAAUCGUCGAAGUUAAGCAACCAUGUGCCUGAGCAGUAUCUAGAAUGGUGACCGUUUGGGAAUAUCAGAUGCUGUAA